AUUGAACGCUGGCGGCAUGCCUUACACAUGCAAGUCGAACGGCAGCACGGACUUCGGUCUGGUGGCGAGUGGCGAACGGGUGGGUAAUAUAUCGGAACAUACCUUGUAGUGGGGGAUAACUAUCCGAAAGGAUAGCUAAUACCGCAUACGCUCUAAGGAGGAAAGCGGGGGAUCGUAAGACCUCGUGCUAUAAGAGUGGCCGAUAUCUGAUUAGCUAGUUGGUGUGGUAAAGGCUCAACAAGGCGACGAUCAGUAGCUGGUCUGAGAGGACGACCAGCCACACUGGAACUGAGACACGGUCCAGACUCCUACGGGAGGCAGCAGUGGGGAAUUUUGGACAAUGGGGGCAACCCUGAUCCAGCAAUGCCGCGUGAGUGAAGAAGGCCUUCGGGUUGUAAAGCUCUUUUGUCAGGGAAGAAACGGUUGUGGCUAAUAUCCAUGGCUAAUGACGGUACCUGAAGAAUAAGCACCGGCUAACUACGUGCCAGCCGCCGCUGUAACAC
rnacentral:rRNA from 1 species